rnacentral:rRNA from 1 species
CCUACGGGUGGCAGCAGUCGAGAAUCAUUCACAAUGGGGGAAACCCUGAUGGUGCGACGCCGCGUGGGGGAAUGAAGGUCUGCGGAUUGUAAACCCCUGUCAUGGGGGAGUAAAGUAAAAAGAUAGUACCACAAGAGGAAGAGACGGCGAACUCGGUGCCAGAAGCCGCGGUAAAACAGAGGCCUCAAGCGUGGUUCGGAAUCACUGGGCGUAAAGUGUGCGGAGUCUGUUUGGUAAGUCGUGUGUGAAAGGGGGGGGCUCAACCCGCGGACGGCAGAUGAUACUGGGAGACUGGAGUGAUGGCGAGGGAAGCGGAAUGCGCGGUGUAGCGGUGAAAUGCGUAGAUAUCGCGAAGAACACUGAUGGCGAAGGCAGGUUCCUGGACCUUAACUGACGCUGAGGCACGAAGGCCUGGGGAGCGAACAGGAUUAGAUACCCCUGUAGUC